rnacentral:lncRNA from 1 species
AAAUCCUUAAGAAUAGGUGGGGCCUCAUAACCCUCUUAUCUUAACAAUUAUUGACUGCCUUAACAAUCCUCAGAAGGAUGGAGACUUGUGAACCCCUUUCCCCUCCCAUUUGCAUCGAUUAACUGCCUAUGAAUCUUCAGGGAGAGGUAGGAUCUGGUAUAUCCAAUCAAUAUAUGUUCAAUCAAGACAGGAUGGAAAUUUCUACCUCCUUCAGCCCAUAACUUCCAGGACUAGCUACGAAGCUUGUGGAGGAUACUGAUGUGGCCACAUUCCUCUGUUUUGCCUGCAA